rnacentral:rRNA from 1 species
CAGCAGCCGCGGUAAUACGUAGGUCCCGAGCGUUGUCCGGAUUUAUUGGGCGUAAAGCGAGCGCAGGCGGUUAGAUAAGUCUGAAGUUAAAGGCUGUGGCUUAACCAUAGUACGCUUUGGAAACUGUUUAACUUGAGUGCAAGAGGGGAGAGUGGAAUUCCAUGUGUAGCGGUGAAAUGCGUAGAUAUAUGGAGGAACACCGGUGGCGAAAGCGGCUCUCUGGCUUGUAACUGACGCUGAGGCUCGUAAGCGUGGGGAGCAAACAGGAUUAGAUACCCCGGUAGUCCCUGUCUCUUAUACA